CAGACCCAUGGCCUCGUAUUUCUAAAGGUGCCAAAGAUUUAGUAAGGAAAAUGCUUAUUCGAGAUCCCAAAAGGUGGAUAUCUGCACAUGAUGUUUUGUGCCAUCCCUGGGUUCAAGUUGGUGGUGUGGCUCCUGACAAGCCUCUCGAUUCUGCAAUAUUAAGUCGAUUGAAGUAAUUCUCUACAAUGAACAAGCUCAAGAAAAUGGCUAUUAGAGUAAUUGCAGAGAGCUUAUCUGAAGAAGAAAUUGCUGGCCUAAAAGAAAUGUUCAAAAUGAUAGACACUGACAGUAGUGGUCAAAUCACUUUUGAAGAACUUAAGGCUGGUUUGAAAAGAUUUGGAGCUAAUAUUAAGGAAUCUGAAAUUUAUGAUUUAAUGCA